rnacentral:lncRNA from 1 species
CUGUGGGUGCCAGCAAUGAAAUGCCAAAGCUGGGCCAGGCUCCAGGGCCCAGCAGAGCUCACAGGCCCUUGUCUCCACAGAGCUUCUAGCUGAGAAACUGAGCCACAACUGGGCUGCCCAGAGUGCACGGCCCCUCAGCACACCCCACUGCCGGGCUACUCAGAGUGACCUACUUCUUCCUGACCUGUUACAGUCACACUGCUGUCUGAGGUGGGCAUGCACCUGCUGAAAUUCUAAGGAGAGCUUCACAGUAGCUGAAAUUGCUGGUGACAGGGAGACUGCUCCAUGACAAAGCACAAACAUGUGCCGGCUUGAAGGCACCAACAGAAGUUUCCAAGCAUAUUAAAGGCUGCCUGCAGAGCCAGCCAUGUUUCGCAAAAUCCAAGAGGGACAAAGAAGAAUGCACAGAGAUGGGGAAGAAAAUAAAGGAGUUAUCAAACAAGAGCCAGUGCUGUUCUACACCCAUGCUCUCCUACUCGUAGCAUCACUGGUAAGUUUAAUGCUCACUACUUCUCCCUUUUCUU